CUGCCCUUUGUACACACCGCCCGUCGCUACUACCGAUUGAAUGGCUCAGUGAGGCGUCCGGACUGGCCCAGAGAGGUGGGCAACUACCACUCAGGGCCGGAAAGCUCUCCAAACUCGGUCAUUUAGAGGAAGUAAAAGUCGUAACAAGGUCUCCGUUGGUGAACCAGCGGAGGGAUCAUUACCGAGUUAUACAACUCAUCAACCCUGUGAACAUACCUAAAACGUUGCCUCGGCGGGAACAGACGGCCCCGUAACACGGGCCGCCCCCGCCAGAGGACCCCCUAACUCUGUUUCUAUAAUGUUUUUUCUGAGUAAACAAGCAAAUAAAUCAAAACUUUCAACAACGGAUCUCUUGGCUCUGGCAUCGAUGAAGAACGCAGCGAAAUGCGAUAAGUAAUGUGAAUUGCAGAAUUCAGUGAAUCAUCGAAUCUUUGAACGCACAUUGCGCCCGCCAGUAUUCUGGCGGGCAUGCCUGUUCGAGCGUCAUUACAACCCUCAGGCCCCCGGGUCUGGCGUUGGGGAUCGGCGGAAGCCCCCUGUGGGCACAACGCCGUCCCCCAAAUACAGUGGCGGUCCCGCCGCAGCUUCCAUUGCGUAGUAGCUAACACCUCGCAACUGGAGAGCGGCGCGGCCACGCCGUAAAACACCCAACUUCUGAAUGUUGACCUCGGAUCAGGUAGGAAUACCCGCUGAACUUAAG
rnacentral:rRNA from 1 species